UACGAAGGGGGCUAGCGUUGCUCGGAAUCACUGGGCGUAAAGGAUGCGUAGGCGGGUCUUUUAAGUCAGGGGUGAAAUCCUGGAGCUCAACUCCAGAACUGCCUUUGAUACUGAAGAUCUUGAGUUCGGGAGAGGUGAGUGGAACUGCGAGUGUAGAGGUGAAAUUCGUAGAUAUUCGCAAGAACACCAGUGGCGAAGGCGGCUCACUGGCCCGAUACUGACGCUGAGGCACGAAAAGCGUGGGGGAGCAAACAGG
rnacentral:rRNA from 1 species